rnacentral:rRNA from 1 species
GACGAACGCUGGCGGCGUGCUUAGCACAUGCAAGUCGAACGGAAAGGCCCCUUUGGGGGUACUCGAGUGGCGAACGGGUGAGUAACACGUGAGUAACCUGCCCUUGACUUCGGGAUAACUUCAGGAAACUGGGGCUAAUACCGGAUAGGAAUCCUUGCUGCAUGGUGGGGGUUGGAAAGCUUCGGCGGUUUUGGAUGGACUCGCGGCUUAUCAGCUUGUUGGUGGGGUAGUGGCUUACCAAGGCUUUGACGGGUAGCCGGCCUGAGAGGGCGACCGGCCACAUUGGGACUGAGAUACGGCCCAGACUCCUACGGGAGGCAGCAGUGGGGAAUAUUGCACAAUGGGCGGAAGCCUGAUGCAGCAACGCCGCGGGCGGGAUGACGGCCUUCGGGUUGUAAACCGCUUUCAGCAGGGGCGAAGCUUGUGGUGACGGUACCUGCAGAAGAAGCACCGGCUAACUACGUG